UUUUUUUUUUUCCUCUGUGACCAACAAUGGAGAGAGUCCAUUUGCUCUCAGUCCUGGUGUCUUCCCGUUGAAUGUCUUCUCACGGGCCGGAUUCUAUAGAGUUGUAACCUGCUGACAUUUCAGUGUGGUCUGAUAAAGCCGUAAUUCAGCUGGUGGAGGCUUUGAUGUUCAGAAGCAAAGGCAUCAGGGAAGCUAAUAUAGCUUUCUGGUCAGGACCAGCAUUCCCUGUGUGGCUGUUUUGGUAGGAACCUGUAGGAACUUAACUCACGGAGUAUUGGAUCCAUCAUCAUCUUUGGUCCAGGGGCUGACCUGUACAUUUCUGAUAGGUCAAGUAAUAACAACGGCUUCCUUGAGAUGUAGUUCACUUACAACUUACCCGUUUUGAGGGCACACGCCAGUGGCGUCUGGUUCAGUCACAGAGCUGGGUAAGUGCCAUGACGUGCUCAACAUCCAAUGUAAGAAAACUCCCAACCAUUGACACUCAGACACCCUCAAACUCCAACUUCCUCCCCUAAGCUUCAAGCAGUUGGCAUUUUGCUUCCCGUGUCUCUAGAUUUGGCUACUUCAGUCAUUUUUUUUUAAUAAGUGUUAUCAUAUGCUAGUUGCC
rnacentral:lncRNA from 1 species